AAGUCAUAACAAGGUAACCGUAGGUGAACCUGCGGUUGGAUCAUUACAUAUUUUAGAAUAAACAAUGUGCUCAUUUAUUUGUAUUGUAUUGAACAGUGAUGAUCAUGGUUGGAUGAAUGUAGCCAAAACAACUUUUGACAAUGGAUCUCUUGAUUCCU
rnacentral:misc_RNA from 1 species